rnacentral:lncRNA from 1 species
GCCUUCCUUUGGGCCGACUUAAUAUUCACAUGGAAAACUUAAUAAUUGUCACAUAUUUAUCAACACAAGCAUGCUCUCCUUUGGGCCGGUGUUAAACGCAUGGAAUUCGAACAUACACAGUCAUAUUAUAUCUUAAAAUCAAUCAAUCUUCACAAAAGAGGUUACUUUGGUAACAUAAUGUUUCAAUUGAUAAUUUAAA